UCUUAUCCUAACCGUCCCGUCCCGUCUAGAUCAACAGUACAACAGUUUCAUGAAAAAUUGAUUACGAUUGGAUGCAUCGCCAGUUCUCACUUAAAACGAAAAAGAACCGAAACUGUAGUAGACGAAGAAUUUAAAAUGGAGGUAUGCUUGGCCGUUGAAGAAAAACCAACCAAUAGUCUUACUCAGUUUGCUGAAGUUACCGGAAAAAGUAGGAGUAGUUGCUAUAAGGCAAUCAGAAAAGAAAAAUACAAAUCUUUUAAAAAAAUCCUCACGUCAUCCAGGAAACGCAUACCCAAACAAGACAGAAACUUAACGUGUGGGCAGGAAUUCUUGGAGAUCGAAUAAUUGGACCAUUUUUCAUAGAGGGUAGCCUAAAUACUGCAAAAUAUUUAGAAUUACUUCAGGUACAGGUCAUUCCCGCAUUAGGAAACGAUGUUCAAAAUGGCAGGAUAAUUUUUCAACAUGAUGGCCCGCUCAUAGUGCAGCGACUGUUACCGAGUUUUUGAAUGCCACGUUCCCAGGACGCUGGAUUGGACGUUUUGGGCCAUCUAAAUGGCCGGCGCGAAGCCCCGAUCUUUCGCCUUUAGAUAACUUUUAUUGGGGCUAUCUAUCAUCGAAAGUGUUUGAUAUUGUUAGAGGCAGACCCAACAAUAUCGAAGAACUUCGUAAUAGAAUUAUCGAGGCUUCGCGUACCAUUACUCCCCGGCAGCUCCUAAAUGUUAAAAGACAUUUCUACAACUGUCUGGGCUUUUGUUUGGCUCAAUUUGGAGGUCACUUUGAACAAUUUAUUUGAAAGGUUUUAUUUGUUUAUUGUUGAUUUUUGAAAAUAUAUUUUUGAGAUUUUGAGGAAA